UGUCUCAAUUCAGGGUCUGCAUCCUACCUCGGCCGGAUUCGUCGGCCGGUUACGUCACAGCGCCGCGACUCGGCCUGUCCCAAUUCGAAGACUCCUUCAAAUGCGGUCGACGAAUGCGGCCUUCUUUUCGCCUGAAUGAAGGAUGGGUCGGGUGUAUCCUUCAAUAGGUAGCAUUUCCCAAGAUGCCUUGCGGGCCGGCCGGCAGAAAAACUUAAAAACAAUGGCGGACAGUGAAGCGGGAGCUGUCGGAGAGGAUUGCGCAUAUAAAUGACCAAAAGAGAAAACCAGGGAAUUUAUUAAGCUUAGGGCGGAGAUGGACCACAUGAUCACCGGAGCAAAGUAUUCGGCGGCUGUGGCAUGGAGACUAUUCUGGAGAAAAUGGGCAUCCAGGGGAAGGUGCCAGCGAUGAGCUUCUGGAGCUGAUCUGGGAGGACAUGAGGCUGCAGAGCAGCAGAGAGCACAGGAGAGAAGGAAGAACUUUGACAGCUUUUUACUUUGCUAGAAAAAAAUGGUUAAUGAAGAUUAAACAUGUACAUAUAAAAGAAAUAUCUAAAUAAAAUCAGUUCUGCAUUAAA